rnacentral:lncRNA from 1 species
CUAUCCAACCCUAGCUAAAGCGACUCCCACUUUCACUUCGAGCAGUUCCUUCACCUUGGCCGACCUCGUUCUCCCCGACCUCGUUCUACGACCUGAGCUCGUUCUCCGACCCAACCUCGUCCUUCAACGACCCGAGCCACCUUCAGCUCCUUCACCGACCCAGAACUGCCUCGAUCGACCACGACCACGAUCUCCUUCAGCGAGCUCCUCCGACCUAUUUCUAAGACCCGAGCUCGUUCUCCGACCCGACCUCGUCCUUCAACGGUCCAAGCCACCUUCAGCUCCUUCAUCGACCCAGAACAGCCUCGAUCGACCACGACCACGAACUCCUUCAGCGAGCUCCUUCAAUGACCUGACCACGACCACGAACUCCUUCAGCGAGCUCCUUCAAUGACCUGACCACGAACUCAUUCUCCCACCUGAGCUCGUCAUUGUCCGACUUGAGCCGGCUCGAGGUAGUUCUCCGAUCGCCACCAUCGU